rnacentral:rRNA from 1 species
GUCCAGACUCCUACGGGAGGCAGCAGUGGGGAAUAUUGCACAAUGGGCGCAAGCCUGAUGCAGCCAUGCCGCGUGUGUGAAGAAGGCCUUCGGGUUGUAAAGCACUUUCUGCGGGGAGGAAGGCGGUGAGGUUAAUAACCUCAUCGAUUGACGUUACCCGCAGAAGAAGCACCGGCUAACUCCGUGCCAGCAGCCGCGGUAAUACGGAGGGUGCAAGCGGUAAUCGGAAUUACUGGGCGUAAAGCGCACGCAGGCGGUCUGUCAAGUCGGAUGUGAAAUCCCCGGGCUUAACCUGGGAACUGCAUUCGAAACUGGCAGGCUAGAGUCUUGUAGAGG